rnacentral:lncRNA from 1 species
ACAGAAUUUCUGAUCUUCCAACCGCUGCAUAAAGAAAUUCUUCAGCUAAUGGUAGAGGUGGAAGGACAGGAAAGGGAAGAAUGUGAUCCAAUGAUAUCACAGACAUAUCCUCAAACAAUCUUGCUCUCUAUACUUAUAUGUUUAUAUUAAGAAAAAGGAAGACCUGCAAGAAGAACAGGGUUUUCUGGCAUGGCUUUGACUACACAGAAUGAGACGAACUGCCACCUGGUUGCCCAGUCUUCAAGUUGCUGAGAUUUCCCCCAAGACAAAAAUCUUCACAAAGUGUCUAAGGGCCUGUUCCAGCACCCAGGGAAACCAAGUGAAAGAUUGCCAUUGCCAUGGGUCUUGGUUAGGAACCCCCUUGCUUUAGUAAGCACGCAGAGGUGCAAUGUAAUCUGUCACCAGUUCUGUACCAAGGCUUUUUAUUCCCAACUUUGUAUCUGAGACAGUCACUUUAUUUAGAGCAAAUGAAAGGUGUGUGAGACAUGGACAACUGGAGGUUACCUCAAAGAAAAUUCUGGAUGCUGCUGCCUAGCAGGGAAGUGUGACACUAAGCCCCCGUCUUCAUACCCUACUGACUGUUAUAAUCUGUAUCUAAACAGUGUCAUGUAAUACAUCAUUGGAAAGCUUAUAACUCUCUGAUUAUUAAUAUCAUUAUGCAAUGUGCAUGCAAGGAAUUGAGGCAAAGUUAUGGAUGUAAACUGAAAUUAUAAUUCUUAAAAUGUGUUUCCAGUCAAAUAGGAGUUACCCCACCCUAAACGAAGGAAUGUGGUUUCUCCACAGGCCAGUUACUUCCAAAGUAUUUUGAAAGACAAUGAGAAUUCAUUUUAUAUAUGAGAUAUACAAAGCUAUCAAGCUAACAAGUUGGGGGAAGAGACAGUGUGACUACACCCCAGCAGGGAAGAGAAAUUUCAUCUGAGAUAUAUAGAAGGGGAAGAGGAGGAGGGCCAAACCUCAAACAAUUGAAUCAGCAAGGACAGAAAGCCAUUUUAAGCAUCCAUCACUAGACAGAUACAAGGGAACAAAGCUCUUGGGAGCUGAGAAAGAUAGGUUCUUCAACCAAGGGGAAAGGUGUUGAAGUCUCUAGAACCAGGUGAGAAACCUGCUCAGGCAAAGAUCGUUCACUUAAGAUGACAAGGAGAGCUAGUACCUUGUACUGUUGUGGAAGGUCCUGGCUGAGGCAACGUCAGCCAUGGCUGGGAAGAAGAAUGGCUGGUGACAGAAACCAUCUUGAAGGACACCUGUAUCUUGCUAGAUAAAGUUUUAGACUUUGAGAUGCAUGUUUUCAUUUUCAUUUGCUUGUAACCCUUUCUAACUUUAUUCCUUGUACUUAAUACAUUUGUUCAAGUGAUGCUAACAAUAGGACUUAG